rnacentral:rRNA from 1 species
UACGUAGGGUGCGAGCGUUAAUCGGAAUUACUGGGCGUAAAGCGUGCGCAGGCGGUAAGUUAAGGCUGAUGUGAAAGCCCCGGGCUCAACCUGGGAAUGGCAUUGGAAACUGGCUUGCUGGAGUGUGGCAGAGGGGGGUGGAAUUCCGCGUGUAGCAGUGAAAUGCGUAGAGAUGCGGAGGAACACCGAUGGCGAAGGCAGCCCCCUGGGCCAACACUGACGCUCAGGCACGAAAGCGUGGGGAGCAAACAGG